GGUCGUAUUUCUUAUCUAUUAAAAAAAUAUUGUAAUUUUUUUUUAAGUAUGGCAAACAAUAAUUUAUAGUGACCAAUUUCCUUUAACUCCCAGUAUAUUUCUUUCAGGUGUAUUUGUCAGGAGACGUUAUACUGAAAGAGGUGACGAGAACAGAAAUACACAAAGCAACGCUAUGAAGAAAUCUUUUAAUAACAGAAUCAAGGACUUUAACUCUGACAAAUCAAGCAUUUUCGCAGAUUCCUAUAUGUUCUCAAAGGAGAUAGUAAACAUGAACUCCAAACCUUUCUCAUGUUCUGAAAGUGGAAAAUGUUUUAGUCAUAAAGAAACUCUUGGUAGACAUCAGAGAACUCACACAGGAGAGAAACCAUUCUCAUGUUCUGAAUGUGGAAAAUGUUUUGGCACGAUAGCACAGCUUGUCAGUCAUCAGAGAACUCACACAGGAGAGAAACCAUUCUCAUGUUCUGAAUGUGGAAAAUGUUUUCGGCUGCAUUCAACUCUUGUCCGUCAUCAGAAAACUCACACAGGAGAGAAACCAUUCUCAUGUUCUGAAUGUGGAAAAAGUUUUGUCACUAAAGAAAUUCUUGUCCGUCAUCAGAGAACUCACACAGGAGAGAAACCGUUCUCAUGUUCUGAAUGUGGAAAAUGUUUUGUUAGUAAAGUAGAGCUUGUCCGUCAUCAGAGAACUCACACAGGAGAGAAACCAUUCUCAUGUUCUGAAUGUGGAAAAUGUUUUGUCACUAAAACAUUGCUUGUCCGUCAUCAGAGAACUCACACAGGAGAGAAACCGUUCUCAUGUUCUGAAUGUGGAAAAUGUUUUUGGCAUCAUUUAAGUCUUGUCCUUCAUCAGAGAUCUCACACAGGAGAGAAACCAUUUUCAUGUUCUGAAUGUGGAAAAUGUUUUCGGCUACAUUCAAAUCUUGUCGGUCAUCAGAGAUCUCACACGGGAGAGAAACCGUUCUCAUGUUCUGAAUGUGGAAAAUGUUUUGUAACUAAAGCAAUGUGUGUCCGUCAUCAGAGAACUCACACAGGAGAGAAACCAUUCUCAUGUUCUGAAUGUGGAAAAUGUUUUGUUAGUAAAGCAGAGCUUGUCAGUCAUCAGAGAACUCACACAGGAGAGAAACCGUUCUCAUGUUCUGAAUGUGGAAAAUGUUUUGUCACUAAAGCAGUGCUUGUCCGUCAUCAGAGAAGUCACACAGGUGAGAAACCGUUCUCAUGUUCUGAAUGUGGGAAAUGUUUUGUUAGUAAAGCAGAGCUUGUCAGUCAUCAGAGAACUCACACAGGAGCAAAACCAUUCUCAUGUUCUGAAUGUGGAAAAUGUUUUCGGCAACAUUCAACUCUUGUCCAUCAUCAGAGAACUCACACAGGAGAGAAACCGUUCUCAUGUCCUGAAUGUGGAAAAUAUUUUGUCACUAAAGCAGCGCUUGUCCGUCAUCAGAGAAGUCACACAGGUGAGAAACCGUUCUCAUGUUCUGAAUGUGGGAAAUGUUUUGUUAGUAAAGCAGAGCUUGUCAGUCAUCAGAGAACUCACACAGGAGAAAAAACAUUCUCAUGUUCUGAAUGUGGAAAAUGUUUUGGCACUACAGCACAGCUUUUCAGUCACCAGAGAACUCACACAGGAGAGAAACCAUUCUCAUGUUCUGAAUGUGGAAAAUGUUUUCGGCAACAUUCAACUCUUGUCCAUCAUCAGAGAACUCACACAGGAGAGAAACCGUUCUCAUGUCCUGAAUGUGGAAAAUAUUUUGUCACUAAAGCAGUGCUUGUCCGUCAUCAGAGAAGUCACACAGGUGAGAAACCGUUCUCAUGUUCUGAAUGUGGGAAAUGUUUUGUUAGUAAAGCAGAGCUUGUCAGUCAUCAGAGAACUCACACAGGAGAGAAACCAUUCUCAUGUUCUGAAUGUGGAAAAUGUUUUGGCACUAAAGAUGUUCUUGUCCGUCAUCAGAGAACUCACACAGGAGAGAAACCGUUCUCAUGUUCUGAAUGUGGAAAAUGUUUUUUUAGUAAAGCAGAGCUUGUCCAUCAUCAGAGAACUCAUACAGGAGAAAAAACAUUCUCAUGUUCUGAAUGUGGAAAAUGUUUUGUCACUAAAGCAUUGCUUGUCUGUCAUCAGAGAACUCACACAGGAGAGAAACUGUUAUCAUGUUCUGAAUGUGGAAAAUGUUUUGGCACUACAGCACAGCUUUUCAGUCAUCAGAGAACUCACACAGGAGAGAAACCAUUCUCGUGUUCUGAAUGUGGUAAAUGUUUUGGCACUAAAGAUGUUCUUGUACGUCAUCAGAGAACUCACACAGGAGAGAAACCGUUCUCAUGUUCUGAAUGUGGAAAAUGUUUUGUUAGUAAAGCAGAGCUUGUCCGUCAUCAGAGAACUCACACAGGAGAAAAAACAUUCUCAUGUUCUGAAUGUGGAAAAUGUUUUUUCACUAAAGCAAUGCUUGUCGGUCAUCAGAGAACUCACACAGGAGAGAAACCGUUCUCGUGUUCUAAAUGUGGAAAAUGUUUUCAGCAACAUUCAAAUCUUGUCAGUCAUCAGAGAACUCACACAGGAGAGAAACCGUUCUCAUGUUCUGAAUGUGGAAAAUGUUUUCGGCUACAUUCAUAUCUUGUCAGUCAUCAGAGAACUCACACAGUAGAGAAACCGUUCUCAUGUUCUGAAUGUGGAAAAUGUUUUCGGCUACAUUCAUAUCUUGUCAGUCAUCUGAGAACUCACACAGGAGAGAAACCGUUCUCAUGUUCUGAAUGUGGAAAAUGUUUUCGGCAACAUUCAACUCUUGCCAGUCAUCAGAGAACUCACACAGGAGAGAAACCAUUCUCAUGUUCUGAAUGUGGAAAAUGUUUUGUCACUAAAGCAAAGCUUGUCAGUCAUCAGAGAACUCACACAGGAGAGAAACCAUUCUUAUGUUCUGAAUGUGAAAUGAGUUUUCGGCAACAUUCAAGUCUUGUCAGUCAUCAGAGAACUCACACAGGAGAGAAACCAUUCUCAUGUUCUGAAUGUGGAAAAUGUUUUGUCACUAACGCAGUUCUUGUCGGUCAUCAGAGAACUCACACAGGAGAGAAACCAUUCUCAUGUUCUGAAUGUGGAAAAUGUUUUGUCACUAACGCAGUUCUUGUCAGUCAUCAGAGAACUCACACAGGAGAGAAACCAUUCUCAUGUUCUGAAUGUGUAAAAUGUUUUGUCACUAAAGCAAAGCUUGUCAGUCAUCAGAGAACUCACACAGGAGAGAAACCAUUCUCAUGUUCUGAAUGUGAAAAAUGUUUUGUCACUAAAGCAAAUCUUGUCAGUCAUCAGAGAACUCACACAGGAGAGAAACCAUUCUCAUGUUCUGAAUGUGAAAAAUGUUUUGUCACUAAAGCAAAGCUUGUCAGACAUCAGAAAACUCACAGGAAAGAAACCGUUCUCACGUUGUGAAUGGGGAAAAUUAUUUUUUGUUAAACCUUAUCUUGAUAGACAUCAGAGAUCUCACACAGGUGAUGAGUCUCUAAAAUUGUAUAAUGUAUCUAUGCAUUAACAUAGAAACAAAAUAUCUUGUAUUGUGAAUUUUGAUCAUGCUGACACAGUAAAUAGUAACUGUGAUAGUAGCAGUCAAAGUACGGCAACUCAAGAUACAUCGUGGUUGUAUGUUCUGUCUGUUACAGAGUGAAAGGCUUCUUCAAACAACCCCCAUGUUAAUACAGACUUCAAGCAAAGGUUAUGUUUACUUCUAAUGUUCUAGUGUUUUUCUUAGGUCAUACAAGGCAGCUGAGACCAUAACUAAUAAAUAUACUAAUUUUGUCUCAUAUGCCAAUCAGCCACUUAUAAUUUGGAGUCAAAUAUUAGCCUUUUUAAAAAUAUUUAAUUAGCUUUAAAAUAUCUAAUGUGUUGUAGGAUUUUAUCUCUGUAAUAUUAUUGUGACAAACUGCCUUUUGUCACUGGAUUGCUAUGUGCCAACCUGCCUUUUUCCCCUGACUGUUGGAGGAGCCUGAUUGCCAGCCUCCUGCCUCAUGACUAUGGCCCUGGGUUGUAUGGCCUUUUAAAAACAUUAUUUGGGCUUAUUGGAUGUUGGGACACUUUUUCUGCCCCUUUGAAUCCAUGGGAAGUUGGAUUCCCCCGCUUCCUGUUCCAUUGUUCUCCAGCAGGGCUUUGUCCCAGGCACACUGCCAGACCAGUUGGAAAUGGCUGCCUUGUACCUCCUUGGUCUCUCAUCAGCCCUUGUUAUCCUUUAACCCCAUGGAAAAUUUACUCUGUUGGUGGGAUCUGAGCGCUGUUCACCUAUAUUGGGCGCUCAGAUCCAAUCUAUCUGGAGAUAGGUUAAAUGUGGGGCCUCUGUGUAAUAUAAUAGGACUUAUAUAUUUUUAUGUAUUUUACUGUUAGUGUAAAAUGGAGAUAUUUUCUGUACCUGGAGAUAACUGAGUUUACUGCAGCUCCUUAAGCCAAUUAUCUCCAGGAUAGAGGGGAGGGAUUUUACUGUGUGUGUGGGAGUGUUAUUUUGUUAGUGUUCCUGUAGCAGAGUAGUAGUAUUAUCCACGGUAUCUCCGCUGGUAGACAGGAACAGCAGAUCCAAAACAGGCAAAAUGCAGGUAGCGUAGUUACAAUCCCUUCCUCCCAAGAACUAGCUUGGAGGUCAACUGAGGUUUUUAAUUACUGGCACAUUAUUUAUGUGGUUACAAAUGUACAGGGUUUCCCAAGUCCCAAUACAGGGUUUGUCCAGUAGGGGACUACAUGGGGGACUGGAUUUUACACACAGAAUACCCAUCAUACACUGCUGUACCAAGGAGAUACUUAUCCCAGCAUGCAUUGCUAAUGGGAGUAUCCCUUGGUACAGAGAAACACAGUUUUCACAUUAAAAUCUAUAACUCACAUAAUAUUUAGGCCAUACAUUUAAUUAACCAUUUAUUACAUAGCUGGGACCUGGGCGGACAGUUAAGUGAACUUGCGCCCAGAUCCCAGCACAAAUAACCGAAUGCCGUUCAGUUUCCCUUAUCAGGAUCAAUUCGUUUAAACGAUUGCCUGAUUGAAGGGGAUGAAACUACCGAAAAUGGUAAACUCCCGAAUGGCUCGGAAGUCCAGUGGGGCUUGUUUGGUCGACAAAACCCCGCUGGCUUUCCGCGAACAAAGAUGGCCGCCGCCUCGAGUUCUGUACACGAAUGGCGGCCACCCGCAACAAACCGCAAUUAGCAUCGAUACAAUGUUGCAAAGUACCUAAUGGGAGACACACGACCAUCUAUGGGUGGUCUCCCAUUCGGUACUUUGCUAAACUCAUGAACAGUGCGGUGAUUCACUGUUCGUGGGUACUCGGAUUUAACAUUAGCGGUAUUCGUGUGCUGUAACACACGAAUGCUGCAUAUAUUGCAAAAUACACAACAUAGCAGGUAAAUUCUAACAUACACUUUUAAACUACAAUUAAGGUCUCUAAGUGGCUGGAUUUGCCACAGUUCCCAUUGGUUUGUGUCCCUUCUGUCACAGUUUACCACCAGGUCCAGGGGGUGUGGCCUUAAAAGUUGUAUAAAAGAAAGUCCUUUUGUGUGCAUUAAAAGAGACCUGCUUACCCCUUCGUGAAACCUGGGCUCAUGUUUGGGAGAUUGGAGAAAUGCCUACACUCUGAUAGAUAUUCAUCACCAAUACUUAAGUUAAUAUCCAUUUUUGAUGUUAAGUGCAUACAUAUUGCUGUAUUGGUACAGAUGUGUGCAAAGAUGUUAUGUUAUUUUGAGAAGCCGUG
rnacentral:lncRNA from 1 species